rnacentral:rRNA from 1 species
CGGUAAUUCCAGCUCCAAUAGCGUAUACUAAAGUUGUUGCAGUUAAAAAGCUCGUAGUUGGAUUUCUGCGGGGACGGAGCGGCCGGUCGCAACUUGCGACUCGAGCUAGCGCUUUCCCCGCAUCCUGCCGCGAACCGUGCUACCAUUAGUUUGGUGGCGCUGGGGAUCGGCUCGAUUACUUUGAGAAAAAUAGAGUGUUCAAAGCAGGCCACACGCCUUGAAUAAGUUAGCAUGGAAUAAUGACUAAGGACUUCGGUUCUAUUUUGUUGGUGUUCGGGACUGAAGUAAUGAUUGAUAGGGACAGUUGGGGCGGUCUGUAUUCCAAAGCGAGAGGUGAAAUUCUUAGACCUUCGGAAGACAAACAGCUGCGAAAGCGUUCCGCAAGGAUGUUCCCUUUGAUCAAGAACGAAAGUUGGGGGAUCGAAGACGAUCAGAUACCGUCGUAGUCUCAACUAUAAACUAUACCAGCUAGGGAUCGGUCAACGUUUAAUUAUUCGACUUGAUCGGCACCUUAUGAGAAAUCAAAGCAUCUGGGUUCCGGGGGGAGUAUGGUCGCAAGGCUGAAACUUAAAGGAAUUGACGGAAGGGCACCACCAGGCGUGGAGCCUGUGGCUUAAUUCGACUCAACACGGGAAAACUUACCAGGUCCAGACAUAGGAAGGAUUGACAGAUUGAUAGCUCUUUCUUGAUUCUGUGGGUGGUGGUGCAUGGCCGUUUUUAGUCGGUGAAGUGAUUUGUCUGCUUAAUUGCGUUAACGGACGAGACCCCAGCCUGCUAAAUAGCGCGGCCGAGCUUUGCUCGGUACGAGCUUCUUAGAGGGACCAUGAUGCGCGAUAGCACAAGGAAGUUUGGGGCAACAACAGGUCUGUGAUGCCCUUAGAUGUUCUGGGCCGCACACGGGCUACACUGGCGCCUGCAACGAGCAUAUCAGCUGGCCCGAGAGGGUCUUGGCUAAUCUUUGGAACCGGCGCCGUGCUUGGGAUUGACCAUUGCAAUUGUUGGUCAUGCAACGAGGAAUGCCUUGUAAACGCGAGUCAUCAGCUCGCAUUGAAUACGUCCCUGCUCCUUGUACACACCGCCC